rnacentral:lncRNA from 1 species
CAAAGUGCUGGGAUUACAGGCGUGAGCCACUGCACCCGGCCAGCCCAGUCUUUGAGAAGAGCCCCAGGAUUCUCAAUAUUUCUGCCCAUGUUUGCCUUCCUUUCUGCUUCUGGCAGGGAGUGGAUUGUCAGCUGACCUCUGUCCUGUGUGCCCAGUGGCCCCAGGUGACGUGUCUUCAAGAAGAGGCUGAGCUGCGGUGCUUGUAAGGGUCUCAUUCUGUCACCCAGGCUGGAGUGCAGUGGUGCAAUGAUGGCUCACUGCAGCCUCGACCUGGGCUCAAGUGAUCCUCCACCUCAGCUUCCUGAGUAGCUGGGACCACAGAGUCAUGUGCUGUUCCUGGGGCUUGGAUGAUGUAGGGGAAGCAAGGUGAAAGUGGUAUCCCGUGGUUCCACGUUCUGUCCUGCUGUGGGGCUGUCCCUCACAUGCUUUCAGUGGCUGUUGCAGAGGAAGAGCCUCCGGAAAUCUGCGUGGGUAAAGUCUCAGCCUUAGAUCCAAGGACAGUCCAAGGAAGUCCUAAGACCAUGGAGUUGGUGAUCUGGGAUCUGGGUUUGCUGAUAUUUCUCACCGUGAAUCUCUUGGUGGUGUUUGUGGGCACGAGAGGGGCAGAGAAUGGAGAGUGAGGCUACCACAUGAAGCGUCACCAGAGCUGCUCCCUGCUGCCUGCUCAGAGCACCCCGGAUCCACUGUUCAAUCUGCACAAGAUUCGGGGUCCAGACAUGGGAGACUUCAGCUGCCUCAGAGGACCGUGGACAGGGAAGGCCAGCCUCGCAUCCCUCUGUCCAUGCCUGGAAUGACUUUAAUAACCAAGAGUUUUAUUUUUGAAUUUGUAGCUGUCGUUCACUUUUUACCCACCCAUUCAAUAAACCUUACAGAAUUGCU